GCUCUAGUUUGGAGUUUCUUCUCAUAUCAGGUUAGAUUAAAUUUACCCACAUCAAUCUACUACAGAAUCUGGAGUACAUUAGAAAAUCUGUAAGGUUAAUUCUUUAUCAUAUUAGAUAUAUGUCUCAUAAAAAUAAAACUAACUUUAUAUUUGGUAGUCAUAUCAUUAUCCAUCUUAAUCAGCAGAUUAAGAUUAUAUUGUCAUGCAUUGGUAAUGAUACACAUACAACAGCUAAGUUUUAAUCCCAAACUAAAUGGGGUCAGCUAUAUGUAUCAUUUUUUU
rnacentral:misc_RNA from 1 species